rnacentral:rRNA from 1 species
GUGGGGAAUAUUGGACAAUGGGCGCAAGCCUGAUCCAGCCAUGCCGCGUGAGUGAUGAAGGCCUUAGGGUUGUAAAGCUCUUUCAGUGGGGACGAUAAUGACGGUACCCACAGAAGAAGCCCCGGCUAACUUCGUGCCAGCAGCCGCGGUAAUACGAAGGGGGCUAGCGUUGUUCGGAUUUACUGGGCGUAAAGCGCACGUAGGCGGGUCGUUAAGUCGGGGGUGAAAUCCUGGAGCUCAACUCCAGAACUGCCUUCGAUACUGGCGACCUAGAGUCCGGAAGAGGUGAGUGGAACUCCUAGUGUAGAGGUGGAAUUCGUAGAUAUUAGGAAGAACCCCAGUGGCGAAGGCGGCUCACUGGUCCGGUACUGACGCUGAGGUGCGAAAGCGUGGGGAGCAAACAGGAUUAGAAACCCCAGUAGUCC